GAGGGUGUAGUUCAGUGGUAGAGUAUGUGCCUAGAAUGCAUGAGGUCCUGGGUGCAACCCCUGGCACCGCCA
rnacentral:tRNA from 1 species